UGUAUACGUUUUCUGUGUGGGUGGAGAAAGAUGGAGUAAAUAGCUCUGUGGAGACUGUCACUAGUGCCACAG
rnacentral:sRNA from 1 species